CUACGGGCGGCUGCAGUCGAGAAUAGUCUACAAUGGGGGAAACCCUGAUAGUGCGACGCCGCGUGAACGAAGAAGCUUUUCGGAGUGUAAAGUUCUUUUCUGUAUGAGCAAUGCUUUAUUGUUUAAGAGAUAAUAGAGAGAGAUAUUAGUACAGGAAUAAGCCACGGCUAACUCCGUGCCAGCAGCCGCGGUAAUACGGGGGUGGCAAGCGUUGUCCGGAAUUACUAGGCGUAAAGGGCAGGUAGGCGGAUAUUCAAGUCAGGCGUUAAAGGCAUCAGCUCAACCGGUGUACGGCGUUUGAAACUGGAUAUCUAGAGUCAGGUAGAGGUAGAUGGAAUUCCUAGUGUAGCGGUGGAAUGCGCAGAGAUUAGGAAGAACACCAAAGGCGAAGGCAAUCUACUGGGCCAUGACUGACGCUAAACUGCGAAGGUGUGGGUAUCAAACAGGAUUAGAUACCCCUGUAGUC
rnacentral:rRNA from 1 species